rnacentral:lncRNA from 1 species
UCAGGCCCCAGCAGAGCCCUAGCCUAGGACGUUGCAGGCACAGGAGAGCUACCCAACCUUGACCGCCCCCCAACCCUGGCCCAACCACCUCCACACACCCUAGGACUCCAUCCAAAAGCCUGUCCUCUGGAGUCCGGAUCCGCUUGGACCAGCAGCCAUGUCUUCCCUCCCGGAGCCUUCUCCAUCCAAAGGAGGGGAGCCGGGUCCAGGAUUGGACUUCACGAAAAGGGAAAUAUCAGCACAGAAUCCUGACGGCACCCAGGCGGUCACGGAAGGCCUUCGUUUUCUCCUUUCAAUCAUGACAUUCUCUGUAUUUUCCACCGUGGGAUCGAGUCACUUGCUGUUCCGAUGGGAGGUGGGCCUGCUGGACCUCCGGGACCCUCGGCAGCAACGCACCCACCUCUGCCGCCCAGUGUCCAGUGCCCGGGUGUGCUGUGACCAGCGGAG